UACGUAGGGGGCAAGCGUUGUCCGGAUUUAUUGGGCGUAAAGGGCUCGUAGGUGGCCAACUAAGUCGGACGUGAAAUCCCUCAGCUUAACUGGGGAACUGCGUCCGAUACUGGAUGGCUCGAGUUUGGGAGAGGGAUGCGGAAUUCCAGGUGUAGCGGUGAAAUGCGUAGAUAUCUGGAGGAACACCGGUGGCGAAGGCGGCAUCCUGGACCAACACUGACACUGAGGAGCGAAAGCCAGGGGAGCAAACGGG
rnacentral:rRNA from 1 species